AGCACUGUGUGGUAUCUGCAUCCAGUUGUAUAUCUGACUGGAUUGUUCAAAUGGCAGUGCAAGAGUAACUCCAAUACCUUCCAUCAUGGACCUCACAACCUUUGCAUGUUGGGUCCUGGGUGGUACUGAGACACAAAU